rnacentral:rRNA from 1 species
AACGCUAGCUACAGGCUUAACACAUGCAAGUCGAGGGGCAGCGCAGUGUAGCAAUACAUGGGCGGCGACCGGCGCACGGGUGCGUAACGCGUAUCCAACCUUCCCGUUACUCAGGGAUAGCCUUCCGAAAGGGAGAUUAAUACCUGAUGGUGUUCAAAUUCCGCAUGUUAUUUGAACUAAAGAUUUAUCGGUAACGGAUGGGGAUGCGUGACAUUAGAUAGUAGGCGGGGUAACGGCCCACCUAGUCUGCGAUGUCUAGGGGUUCUGAGAGGAAGGUCCCCCACACUGGAACUGAGACACGGUCCAGACUCCUACGGGAGGCAGCAGUGAGGAAUAUUGGUCAAUGGUCGGAAGACUGAACCAGCCAAGUAGCGUGAAGGAUGAAGGUUCUAUGGAUUGUAAACUUCUUUUAUACGGGAAUAAAACCACCUACGUGUAGGUGCUUGUAUGUACCGCAUGAAUAAGCAUCGGCUAACUCCGUGCCAGCAGCCGCGGUAAUACGGAGGAUGCGAGCGUUAUCCGGAUUUAUUGGGUUUAAAGGGAGCGUAGACGGGAUGUUAAGUCAGUUGUGAAAGGCUGCGGCUCAACCGCAGCACUGCAGUUGAUACUGGCGUCCUUGAGUGCGGUUGAGGUGUAUGGAAUUCGUGGUGUAGCGGUGAAAUGCUUAGAUAUCACGAAGAACUCCGAUUG